GAACAAUAAAAUAAACAAUUUACUUAGCAAAUGGUGAUAAUGUUUGUUAAUGAAAGAGAGUACGGGACAAAUUAACAUUUAAACCUUAAACUAGCAGCGCACGUCACUUUCUGAAUGAGGUGCGCGACGUGCGCGUGCCCGUCAUUUUGUAACGGUCAACUUCCAGCGGACGGACACGGAGGAAAGGUAAGUCCUAUAAAUCUACUUUUAUUCAUAGAUUUUAACUGAUAUAACGUUAAAUGCCAUCAAAGAGGAGUAGUGUUUUGUAUUUUUGUAGGUUUUCUCUUUCAAUUUAAUAAAUAAAUGCUCUGUUUGGUUAAUUAGCUCAAAAGCAGUCUCAGAGGUGGUCUAAGGUAACGUUAACUGUAAAAAUCGAAUAUAACCUUACCUGUUUUAAAUUAUUUGAAAUGUAUCACUAUAAACUAUACAGUAUUAACUUUCUAAUAAUUAAAUUUUUAACCGUAGUAACGUUAAUUAGUUUGUUUGAAUGCCUGCUGCUCGAGCUUGAUGAUGCUCAUGCUAUCCAUGCUGUGAACUUGAAUAUAAACCGAUAGAACGUUAAAUAUAAAGUUUAACGUUAAUUAGACCGAGGCUGCCGAAAUCAUGUUCAGUGUAACGUUAUGUGGGAUUAAUUAUUUCCCCUUUUCUCCCUCAAGUGGCAGGCUUGUAAAUUCUGUCAUCUGUUCAUUAUUGGUGUUGAUGGUGUUUUUCACAUGCAUGCUUUUUAAUGCUAGUUUAAUUCUCAAAUUGAUCUGAUACUUUCGUUUCACAAAAAGUAAACACAUUUUUCACUUUCUUAGGGCCUGACAACCACCAGUUGAGUCCAUGAUUCAGGGAAGAGACAGUCUGGGCAGCAGCAACAAGACAACUAUUACAAGUAGAGAUGGGUUUCAAGAACUGGUACUAAUUUGGUUCCUGACUUGUUCAGUACUGAAAACAUUUACAUAAGAUUUGAGGGAAAGAUUAAAAACAAGGAGGUCUGGGAAUGACUGAAGGGAUCUGACAGCAGUGAGGGAAGGAAGUUAUCACCAGAAUCCUUGGUGAGUAGAAGAGACUUCUCUUGAAAACCAUAAAGAAAAGAUUCCAGGAUGAAGAGGAGGAGGAAGAACACGUUUAACAAUUUUCUAUAAGCUUGCCAUUAGUUAUAAUAAAAACAAUGAACAUGACUACAAUAAUAUGCUAAAUGUUAUUAAAAGAUUCCAGUUUGCAAGAAGUCUGAGUGUCUGACUCUACACUAGAGGAACUCUUUUCUGAAGAAGAUCAGGUGCUGAGAAGAAGCCUUGUUCUACAGCAAAACACUGCAUCAAACCUCCUGUCCUUCCCUCAGAAGAGCCUGUCUUCUGCUGCUGGGGUAAGAAACACCCUCUUCCUCUUCUCUAUCAGCUGUCCAGCACCUAACUCUGCCUCCUCAGCACUGUCUGAAAGAGUCUUCUCCACAGUCAGUAAUCACAGAUCACAGAUUCUUCUGAGAAAGUCGAUAUGCUCAUUUUCUUAAAAAAAUUUGUUUUUUCGGGUGGGACAAAUAAUACAGGAGAGAUGCUAGAAAUCUCUAUAUUGUUCAUUUUUCAUAUCUUUACGCUUUAUGAAUGUUUUUCUUCUGAGAAGCUCAAAAAUUAUGGUUCUUUGGUAAUUGCUUUAUUGUUUAGGUUUAUCCUCUGAUAGUGAGCACAGAGCCCUGAUCAUGGCAUGCAAGAAAAAGAAAGAAAUCAUGUCCAUGAUUUACUAAUUCAUUCCCUCUAUGUACUAAAACGUGCACGAUUACUUUUACAUUUCAUUGAUUUGCUAAAUCGUAUGCACAAUUUACUAAUUCGUUCUCUUGAUGUAUAAAUAGUGUACACGUUUUAGCAAAUCGAGGGAAUGAAAUAUAAAAUCGUGCGCAUGAAUUAGCCUUAAAUUUUUUCCUGCAUGUCGUGUAAAUAAAGCACAUCACCACCAGACAUUUAUACCAGGAGCCUCAUAUACGACGCUCACAGUUUUACUUUGUGCAGUAUCUCUGUGCAGUAUCUGCUGAAUUGUUUCAUAUCUAUUUAUCAUGUAUUUUUCGUUGCACUAAAUUAUGUUGUAUCAAUAAGUUUACUGAUAAUUAUUUUUAAUUUUCACUAAUAACGUCAUUAACCAUCUCCCCAUCUUUAAGACAAAAAUUCUCUAUUGUUUAUAUUGUGUAAUCUAUGAAUUGAUGUGUUUAGUUUUCUGUGCUCAUAACUUAGUAACAUUUUGCAUGGUUAAAGAACAGGUGCGAUGUUCAAAAUGUUUUUAUACAAAGUAGUGCUGAAUAAAUAUUGAUUUGUGAAUGAA